GGCAAGGUUAACCAGUGAUGGGGAGCCGGAGCGAAAGCGAGUCUGAAUAGGGCGUUCAGUCGCGUGCUGUAGACCCGAAGCCGAGUGAUCUAUCCAUGGGCAGGUUGAAGCGGGGGUAAGACCUCGUGGAGGACCGAACCCACCUAGGUUAAAAACUGGGGGGAUGACCUGUGGAUAGGGGUGAAAGGCCAAUCAAACUCGGUGAUAGCUGGUUCUCCCCGAAAUGCAUUUAGGUGCAGCGUCGUGCGUUCAGUCAUGGGGGUAGAGCACUGAAUGGGUUAGGGGGCCUACAAGCUUACCGACCCCAAUCAAACUCCGAAUACCAUGACUCCAGAGCACGGCAGUGAGACCGCGGGGGAUGAGCUUCGCGGUCGAGAGGGAAACAGCCCAGAUCGCCGGCUAAGGCCCCUAAUUCUGGACUAAGUGGAAAACGAUAGUGAGACUGCCCAGACAGCCAGGAGGUUGGCUUAGAAGCAGCCACCCUUGAAAGAGUGCGUAACAGCUCACUGGUC
rnacentral:rRNA from 1 species